UACAGAGGUCUCAAGCGUUGUUCGGAUUCAUUGGGCGUAAAGGGUGCGUAGGUGGCGGGGUAAGUCAGGUGUGAAAUCUCGAGGCUCAACCUCGAAACUGCACUUGAUACUGCCUUGCUCGAGUACUGGAGAGGAGAUUGGAAUUUACGGUGUAGCAGUGAAAUGCGUAGAUAUCGUAAGGAAGACCAGUGGCGAAGGCGAAUCUCUGGACAGUUACUGACACUGAGGCACGAAAGCUAGGGGAGCAAACGGG
rnacentral:rRNA from 1 species